rnacentral:misc_RNA from 1 species
AGCAGCCGCGGUAAUUCCAGCCCCAAUAGCGUAUAUUAAAGUUGUUGCAGUUAAAAAGCUCGUAGUUGAAUUUCGGGACCAAUUUGUUGGUCGUGCCUCGGUACGUACUGGUAUUAUUGGUUUCUCCCUUCUGAAGAACCAUGAUGCCAUUAAUUUGGUGUCGUGGGGAAUCAGGACUGUUACUUUGAAAAAAUUAGAGUGUUUAAAGCAGGCAUACGCUUGAAUACAUUAGCAUGGAAUAAUGAAAUAGGACGUUUGAUUCUAUUUUGUUGGUUUCUAGGAUCGACGUAAUGAUUAAUAGGGAUAGUUGGGGGCAUUAGUAUUCAAUUGUCAGAGGUGAAAUUCUUGGAUUUAUUGAAGACUAACUACUGCGAAAGCAUUUGCCAAGGAUGUUUUCAUUAAUCAAGAACGAAAGUUAGGGGAUCGAAGACGAUCAGAUACCGUCGUAGUCUUAACCAUAAACUAUGCCGACUAGGGAUCGGAUGAUGUUAAUUUUUUAAUGACUCAUUCGGCGCCUUAC